rnacentral:rRNA from 1 species
AGUCUGGUGCCAGCAGCCGCGGUAAUUCCAGCUCCAAUAGCGUAUAUUAAAGUUGUUGCAGUUAAAAAGCUCGUAGUUGAAUUGAGAUAUAUUAUAUAUAAGGCAUUUUUAUCUUCUUUAGAAAAUAAAGAUAAGCUUAAUUAAUAAUAAUAUAUCCCUUUUAAGAUAAUAAUACUGAUAUUAAGUUAUUGGUAUUAUAAUAUCUUAAACCUUUACUGUGAAUAAACUAGAGUGUUCAAAGCAGGCAAUUUGUUUUUAUAACAAAAUAUAGCCUGAAUACGUUAGCAUGGAAUAAUAACAUUAGACCAUGGUUUGAUAAUAUUUUAUUAUAUUAUCAUACUAGUCUUGUUGGUUUGCUGCUAACCAUGGUAAUGAUUAAUAGGGACAGUUGGGGGUAUUCGUAUUCCAUAGUCAGAGGUGAAAUUCUUGGAUUUAUGGAAGACGAACUACUGCGAAAGCAUUUACCAAGGAUGUUUUCAUUAAUCAAGAACGAAAGUUAGGGGAUCGAAGAUGAUUAGAUACCAUCGUAGUUCUAACCAUAAACUAUGCCAACUCAGGAUCAGUGAUUGUGUUAUUAUAACUAACAUCAUUGGCACUGUAUGAGAAAUCAAAGUCUUUGGGUUCCGGGGGGAGUAUGGUCGCAAGGCUGAAACUUAAAGAAAUUGACGGAAGGGCACCACCAGGAGUGGAGCCUGCGGCUUAAUUUGACCCAACACGGGGAAACUUACCAGGUCCAGACAUAGUAAGGAUUGACAGAUUGAGAGCUCUUUCUUGAUUCUAUGGGUGGCGGUGCAUGGCCGUUCUUAGUUGGUGGAGUGAUUUGUCUGGUUAAUUCCGAUAACGAACGAGACCCCCGCCUGCUAAAUAGGGUAUUUAAUACUCAGUAUUAAAUAAUUUAUUUUACCCUUCUUAGAGGGACUUUUGAUGAUUAAUCAAAGGAAGUUGGGGGCAAUAACAGGUCUGUGAUGCCCUUAGAUGUCCUGGGCUGCACGCGCGCUACACUGACGUAUUCAACGAGUAUACAACCUUAGUCGAUAGGCUUGGGUAAUCUUUUUAAAGUACGUCGUGAUAGGGAUAGAUUAUUGCAAUUAUUAAUCUUGAACGAGGAAUUCCUAGUAAACGCGAUUCAUCAGAUCGCAUUGAUUACGUCCCUGCCCUUUGUACACACCGCCCGUCGCACCUACCGAUUGAAUGAUUCGGUGAAGCUUUCGGAUUAUGUUUUGUUAGCUUUAAUCGGCUUGACAAAAUAUGAGAAGUUAUCUAAACCUCAUCAUUUAGAGGAAGGUGAAGUCGUAACAAGGU